CUACGGGCCGCUGCAGUGGGGAAUAUUGCACAAUGGGCGCAAGCCUGAUGCAGCCAUGCCGCGUGUAUGAAGAAGGCCUUCGGGUUGUAAAGUACUUUCAGCGGGGAGGAAGGGAGUAAAGUUAAUACCUUUGCUCAUUGACGUUACCCGCAGAAGAAGCACCGGCUAACUCCGUGCCAGCAGCCGCGGUAAUACGGAGGGUGCAAGCGUUAAUCGGAAUUACCGGGCGUAAAGCGCACGCAGGCGGUUUGUUAAGUCAGAUGUGAAAUCCCCGGGCUCAACCUGGGAACUGCAUCUGAUACUGGCAAGCUUGAGGCUCGUAGAGGGGGGUAGAAUUCCAGGUGUAGCGGUGAAAUGCGUAGAGAUCUGGAGGAAUACCGGUGGCGAAGGCGGCCCCCUGGACGAAGACUGACGCUCAGGUGCGAAAGCGUGGGGAGCAAACAGGAUUAGAUACCCGAGUAGUC
rnacentral:rRNA from 1 species